GGAGUCGGCUAGGCAGUCGCGUCAUCCUUUCAGGAUGCCGAGGAAAGUCCGGGCUCCACAGGGCACGGUGCCAGGUAACACCUGGGCGGCGCGAGCCGACGGAAAGUGCAACAGAAAGAUACCGCCUAAGCCUGCGCAAGCAGGCCGGCAAGGGUGAAAUGGUGCGGUAAGAGCGCACCGCGAGUCUGGUAACAGACCGGCACGGCAAACCCCACCGGGAGCAAGACCAAAUAGGGAGACGAUGAGGCGGCCCGCCGAGUCUCCGGGUAGGUUGCUUGAACGUAGCGGUGACGCUGCGUCGAGAGGAAUGACUGCCGCGGCGCGCAAGCGCCGACAGAACCCGGCUUAUCGGCCGGCUCCGCCG
rnacentral:RNase_P_RNA from 1 species